rnacentral:tRNA from 1 species
AGUACUACGCCGGAUGAACGGAAAUCAUUGAUGUUGAUUAAUAUGUGACAAAAGUCUCUGGUGCUA